rnacentral:rRNA from 1 species
CGGGACGGGUGAGUAAUGCGUAGGAAUCUACCUAGUUGAGGUGGGAUAGCCUAGGGAAAGUUAAGGGUAAUACCGCAUAAGUCUUACGGGAGAAAGCAGGGGACUGUUAAAGGCCUUGCGCGAUUAGAUGAGCCUACGUCGGAUUAGCUUGUUGGUGGGGUAAAGGCCUACCAAGGCGAUGAUCCGUAGCUGGUCUGAGAGGACGACCAGCCACACUGGGACUGAGACACGGCCCAG